rnacentral:rRNA from 1 species
GAUGAACGCUAGCUACAGGCUUAACACAUGCAAGUCGAGGGGCAGCGGGAUUGAAGCUUGCUUCAAUUGCCGGCGACCGGCGCACGGGUGAGUAACGCGUAUCCAACCUUCCGUACACUCAGGGAUAGCCUUUCGAAAGAAAGAUUAAUACCUGAUGGUAUGAUGAGAUCGCAUGGUAUCAUCAUUAAAGAUUUAUCGGUGUACGAUGGGGAUGCGUUCCAUUAGGUAGUAGGCGGGGUAACGGCCCACCUAGCCUACGAUGGAUAGGGGUUCUGAGAGGAAGGUCCCCCACAUUGGAACUGAGACACGGUCCAAACUCCUACGGGAGGCAGCAGUGAGGAAUAUUGGUCAAUGGACGAGAGUCUGAACCAAGCCAAGUAGCGUGAAGGAUGAAGGUCCUACGGAGUUGUAAAACUUACCUUUUUAUUACGGGAAGUAAAAGUUUACCUUACGUACGUAGGAGUUUAGUUNUGUACGUAUGAAUAAGACAUCGGCGU